UUGAGGUUCCUUUGUCUUAUCAUAGACAAUGGUCCCCAAAUUAUCCAAAUUAUGUGUUAUUCGACUACGAAGGAGACAAACAUUUUAUAAAGCUUCAUAAAUAUGGUAACCGUUUCUAUUUUGGUGAUAGACUCAAGGAACUUAGGAGAACCCAUGGCAUUCACGAAAGUGUUCUCAUGCGAUUUGUUGGAAGGGACAAAAAAUACUACUUUCAGUGUGGACGUUGUGGGACCUCUACACCAAAGGGCAGCCCCAACCAUAAGGCACCAUGUUUUUACCAUUGAUGUCUCUGAAGAUAUGAUACAUCAAAAUUAUCAAUUGGUGACUGUCAUUUGAAGGCUGGAGAUGAGGUCAUCUUUUUCUACAACAUUGACCAACAUUUAUGGGAGGUCCUCUAUAGGAAGCAAGUUACAUGGGAUGACACAGAGGAUGAAGCUGACUCACCUUGAAGAAAUAUUUAAUUACUUAUCUUUGUUUUAUUUUGAUAUAUUAUGUUGUAAUUUAAUUACCCUCGGGUAAUGAACAAUUUUUUUUUUUUACUUUUGUUUGUUUAAACAUUGCUAUCAACAAUACAAUUAUUAUUAUGUUUUAU